rnacentral:snRNA from 1 species
GUGCUCACUUCGGCAGCACAUAUACUAAAAUUGGAACAACAGAGAGAAGAUUAGCAUGGUCCCUGCGCAAGGAUGACACACAUAAAAAAAAUAUCCCUUAAUUGCUG